GUCUCUGUAGCGCUAUGAAAAGUGUGUGUGAGAGUUGGACUUCUAAUCCAAAAGUCGUGGGUUGGAAUUCCACUUGGGACG